UCCGGUGGCCAUGGCGGAGGGGAAACACCCGGUCCCAUCCCGAACCCGGAAGUUAAGCCCUCCAGCGCCGAUGGUACUGCCCUGGCGACGGGGUGGGAGAGUAGGACGCUGCCGGGA
rnacentral:rRNA from 1 species